rnacentral:rRNA from 1 species
GACGAACGCUGGCGGCGUGCUUAACACAUGCAAGUCGAACGGUAAAGCCCUUCUUUGCUCUCGUGCUCGAGUGGCGAACGGGUGAGUAACACGUGAGUAACCUGCCCUUUACUUUGGGAUAACGUCUGGAAACUGGGGCUAAUACUGGAUAUUCACUCCGCAUGCCUGGGGGGGGUUGGGAAGUGUCGGGGGUUGGGGUUGGACUGGCGGCUGCUUAGCUUGUUGGUGGGGUAGUGGCUUACCAAGGCUUCGUCGGGUAGCCGGCCUGAGGGGGUGACGGGCGAGAUUGGGACUGGGAUACGGCGCGGAGUAGUACGGGAGGCAGUAGUGGGAAAGAUGGAAGAAUGGUGGGAAGCCGGAGGCAGGAAGGUGGAGUGCGGGGUGAUGGGCUUCGGGUUGUAAACCGAUUUAGGCUGAGUCGUAGCGGUAUUGACGGUAAUGGGUAAAGAAGCACCGGCUAACUACGUG